GUAGUAAUUAAAAAGGUUUUUGAUUUUAAGAUGUUCUUAUUUGUGUUCUUUCAUGUUUAAAGGGAGAACUUCCUCACUAUUUGAGGCACCAGAGAUGUACAGGGAUAACACAAAAGUUCUUCAUGAAUAAAUAUCCAUCCAGGAACAAGUGUCCAGGAGUAAUUUGAUUCCUAAAUGAUAAAGCCGUGUAGAAUGUUUUCUGAAUGGAAGUGACGCAUCAUCAAACUCCUGCAAGACCAAUAGAAGUUAGGCAUCCAAUGAAAAUGCAUUCUGAGGAGCAACACAAGCAUGAAGCGGAGGUCUUCGAGACCUAUGGGAAAUGAAAAUCUAUGUUUAUUGUAUCCAGUUAUGACGUGAUUGGGAAGAACUUGUUAAGCAGCACAAAUGAAGAUAAAAUAAAUUUUCUUUAGCUCUUUGUCUAGAAAAAAAU
rnacentral:lncRNA from 1 species